GUGUUUGUUUCGUGCUUCGACCAGGGAUCGAACCAAAACGGAAAAUGUUAUUGGUGCAAGUGUGAAAGAGUGCGGUUGUGUUGUGUUUCUUUCCUGCGAUGGAUAAUGGUCAUUGGGAGAGCCCAAAUUAAUAAGGCUAGGAUCCGAGAAGGGCAGCCUUAUAAAGGUAGGAUUUUCUUUUUUUGCAUGCUGGUGUUGGGUUUAUUGCACUUUUUAUUUUAUGUAUCUAGCAGUGGGGAAAAGUGAAUAGUGCAUAACCAAAAGGUAAGGUAGUGAGUCUGGCUGACCUUCGUACCGUAAAAUUAAGUGAGGUAUGUCCGUCUUCUCGCCCAUCUUAUUUACGUAAGCGUGGCUGCAAGUUCUUCUCGCAGAAUCAAUCAAUUUACUUCACAAUAUUCAGUAUUGCAGCUCAUUCUUCCGUUUCGAAGUUGAGCGAUUUCGAAGAGUUCCAUACCUCACUUAGUAACACUAGAAGGUCAACUUUGCGCUUUUUAGAAAAAGGUAAGUGCGUUUGAAUCACCAUAAGCGUUUCGUUUACUACUGCGUUUUUAUAAUUCUUUAAUAAACGAAUGCGCAGAAAACUUGGAACAGUGUUGGCCUAAUGGGCCCACUUACUCAUUUUCUCUGUUGUUCACAGCGUCAUCGAUGGCAUUGCAAUCUGUUGAAGAUCCAACACUGUCAUGCUCCAGGUCAACCCACGGUUCGGUGGCAGAAUCCCGUGGAUGCCGCUUAGACGAGCGAGUAAUGGACAACGGAGAAAGAUGUCUACCAGAUGUUGUGCAGUGCCGCCUAUGGUUCUUCCCAGGCGAGACCGACUUAAUAAGGCUAAGGAUUCCAGAAGGGCAGCCUUAUCAAGGUAGGAUUUUUUUUCUAUGCAUGGGCAUUUUCUUUUUUUUAUGUAUUUAGCAGUGCAGUAGGGGGAAGUGAAUAGUGCGUCGAAUUUCGCGAACUUUCGUGCAAUAAUACGAUUUGUCUUGUGACUGUCCUCUAAGUCUAUCAUCUUGGUAAUGUAAGAUUGGACCAAAUGGUCUGCUUCGCAGCGUCAACCAACUUUCCCCAUUUUAAUUGGUAUGACUAUGAAUUCAUAGCCACACUGUUAGAAUGGAGUAAUUUGAUUUUCUCUGCAAAACAAAUAUUUCGUUUCCAAGCUGAAUGACUUCGAGAACUGUUAGAAUUCAUGUAUUAUUACACAAAAAUAGGUAUUUCUGGUUUUAAAAGUAGGUAACCAAUUAAAUCACUAGAUUACUUGAAUUCUUACUAAUUCCAAUGUUUUGCUCUUCGCAGUCAGUAGCAGACCACUAUAUCUACUGUUGUGAGGGGACCUGGCGUGAUUGAUAGAUUUGAAUCCUUUCAACUACUCAUCCUGUUGAUCACACGGAAUUUGUUGAAAUAAAGAAAGAUUCCAGAAGGGCAGCCUUAUCAAGGUAGGAUCUUUGUUUUUGCAUGCGA